rnacentral:rRNA from 1 species
UACGAAGGUCACAAGCGUUAUCCGGAUUUAUUGGGCGUAAAGCGUUUCGUAGGUGGGUUUAUAAGUUAUCCUUUAAAGACUACGGCUCAACCGGAGGAAGGGGGAUAAUACUGUGAGUCUUGAUUUUUGGCGGGGCAUCUGGAACUGAUGGUGUAGUAGUGAAAUACGUUGAUAUCAUCAGGAACUCCAAGGGCGAAGGCAGGAUGCUAGCCAAUUAAUGACACUGAGGAACGACAGCUAGGGGAGCGAAAGGG